rnacentral:rRNA from 1 species
UGGGUUUAAAGGGAGCGUAGGCUGGAGAUUAAGUGUGUUGUGAAAUGUAGACGCUCAACGUCUGAAUUGCAGCGCAUACUGGUUUCCUUGAGUACGCACAACGUUGGCGGAAUUCGUCGUGUAGCGGUGAAAUGCUUAGAUAUGACGAAGAACUCCGAUUGCGAAGGCAGCUGACGGGAGCGCAACUGACGCUUAAGCUCGAAGGUGCGGGUAUCAAACAGGAUUAGAUACCCUGGUAGUCCGCACAGUAAACGAUGGAUGCCCGCUGUUGGUACCUGGUAUCAGCGGCUAAGCGAAAGCAUUAAGCAUCCCACCUGGGGAGUACGCCGGCAACGGUGAAACUCAAAGGAAUUGACGGGGGCCCGCACAAGCGGAGGAACAUGUGGUUUAAUUCGAUGAUACGCGAGGAACCUUACCCGGGCUUGAAUUGCAGAGGAAGGAUUUAGAGAUAAUGACGCCCUUCGGGGCCUCUGUGAAGGUGCUGCAUGGUUGUCGUCAGCUCGUGUCGUGAG